AUUUAGUUUUCAACCGUUGAAUGGUUAUCCUCGUGAGUACUGACCCAACAGGUCAUUACGACACUUCCACGUCUUCGCAGCUGACUUCACAGCUGAAAAACGUGUUCCUGAUGCCAAACGUGGAAGCCGUUACUUUAGAUCGAUGUGGCACGCUGAUGUCCAACCUUGAAUACGUGUAGAAGGAUUGACGUUGGACAUCCUGUUGCAGCAUGUGGUUUCCCACAAUGGAAGAAGAGGGAAAGUUCUCCACGUGGGUGGUUGGAUCUAGUAGGGUGAGAAGAAAGUGGAGUUUAAGCUCAGUUUAAUGUGAGAUUCGUCAACAUUUGCAAGCGGGUUCGGUUCUUUAUAGAAAUGUUUUCACAGAAUCCAAUCCCGGCUUGCAUCCAACAUGUGAUGAGUUUUCUCACACCUUGUACUGCACAAACCACACAAUGUAAUAUUUAUUAGUCUUUUAUUUAUUUUUUGGUAAUAAACUGAGGUUGGCGUUUCCGUCAAGUCAGUCAACCAGGACAAGUUCUAGCCUGGGAGCGGUACGCCUUUUCCACUUGUCACUAUUAAGAUCCUUUACUGGAGUGCAGUGAUAUGUAAUGGAUGAUACAUG
ensembl:lncRNA